CUUGUAAGUUCAACAAAAGUGCAGUCGUAGCCACAGUUAAGGGUUAUAAAGACCUUCCAAAAUCUGAACAAAGUUUAAUGGAUGUCGUAUCUAACGUGGGCCCUAUUUCGGCCGCUUUAAGGACAGACGAGACAUCCUUUCAAUUGUACAAAGGCGGGUUAUAUGACGAGCCCAACUGUAAAUCCAAAGUUGAUCAUCCCCUUGUAAUAGUCGGGUACGGUCUUAUGGAUGGUAAAAAAUAGUGGAUUGCUAAAAAUAGCUGGGGUACAUCAUGGGGAAAUAAAGGAUACAUAUUGAUAACGAAGAAUAAAAAUAACCAAUGUGGUAUUGCCAACAGCCUUAGUUACCCCAUUAUGUGAUGAAUAUCAUAUGACACUGCAUUUGCUUGAUGUUCUUAAUUUCAAUUAUCU